ensembl:lncRNA
CUCACUGCAGGGAGCUCCUGCGGCUGCCAGUGAGUAAGGAAAACAGAUGGCUGUUGCUUUUGAAGCCACUAACACAUCCAUUUCUCUGCCUUUUGUGUAUUUUUUCUCUUUCCCCUCAAGUUUCCAACUCCUGCAGUAGCCCUGGGAGCAACCAGGCAUUGGUAGACAUGUUGGAAGGCAGCCACACAGGCGGAUUGGAAGAAAAGAGAUGGUGCCUUUAAGUACCAACCAGAACACCAGCUCAAAUUCAACAUCACAAGAAUUCAGUCAUCUUCUACUGUUUCUGUUUCAGAUGUUCUGCCUUAUCCCCCCGUCCAGACCAGAAACCUUGCUGUAACAUCAUAUUCUUUUUGUCCUAUAUGCAGGUUUCAGAUUUGUCUGACAAGUCUAUGAAUUGCCACUUCUCUGUGCACUGACCACCCACCUGCAUAAAACCUUACAAGAAAUACUUUCAAAAGCAUAUCAGUCCUGGACUCCAGAAAAAAAGUGUGG